GGGGAUAUUUGGUUUUGACAGCAGGUAGAGCAGGUAUGUAAGCACGUCGAGUAUGAAUACCACUCGUUAAUAGGAUUCAAAACUAUAACUGGCAACACAAAUGUAGCUCUCGCUGCGUAACCGAAGUAUAGUAGGUUCGCUUAGUUUCGGCACAAGGUGCUGAACCGAGACAUCGCUCCAAGCCAAUGCUCUAAGGCUCAAUGGAUAUAGCGGUGCGGAAAUGUUAGAGCUAUCGUUCUUGGGCUGCGACAAGAACGUGACAUUUUAGCAGAUAAGGUAUUGGUUGGUGGCUUGGGUCUUGCCAAUACACGAAAAUAAAGGCCAAGAUAAACGUGUAGAAAGCAUAUUGGUUCCUUGUUUGGACGCGGGUUCGAAUCCCGCUAUCUCCACAA
rnacentral:tmRNA from 1 species